GGACCGGAAGAGGUAGAGGUACUCCAGGGGUAGGAGUGAAAUCCUGUAAUCCUUGGGGGACCACCUGUGGCGAAGGCGUCUCACCAGGACGGCUCCGACAGUGAGGGACGAAGGCUGGGGGAGCAAACCGGAUUAGAUACCCGGGUAGUCCCAGCCGUAAACGAUGCGCGUUAGGUGUAUCGGUGACCACGAGUCACCGAGGUGCCGAAGGGAAACCGUGAAACGCGCCGCCUGGGAAGUACGGUCGCAAGGCUGAAACUUAAAGGAAUUGGCGGGGGAGCACCACAGCAGGUGGAGCCUGCGGUUUAAUUGGAUUCAACGCCGGAAAU
rnacentral:rRNA from 1 species